rnacentral:lncRNA from 1 species
UGGGACAUGCCUUGGAUGCCAAAGUUGUGUGAGAGUUUGUGCUAUGACCGCACGCCAGGUUUCCGUUCUGUGGGUCUGUCCAAAAUUUGGCUGAACCCGGGUCACGAGGUCGGAUGCGCCCGACCCCUCGCGGCAGGUCUCCGCCUUGCCCGACCCCUUGUUGCAAGGCUCCAUUUCGCCCGACCGGUGCACUAAAGGUCGGACAUAGUGGAACCCCCGGGAUAAGGUUUUGACUCGCCCGAGGUUGUCUGCAGACCAGCCCAUGAGAACGAGAUCUUGUGGACCCUACCGAGCGUGGAUCAAAACACCUUUCCGUUCGGUAGCAAGAGUAAAACG